CAAUUUUCCGAAAUAGUGACAAAAAAAUAUCAAUGCUGGAUACUAUGUAUCUAGUAAUUGGAAUGAGUACAAUUUAAAUCCCUUAACAAGUAACAAUUAGAGGGCAAGUCUGGUGCCAGCAGCCGCGGUAAUUCCAGCUCUAAUAGCGUAUAUUAAUAUUGUUGCAGUUAAAAAAGCUCGUAGUUGAAAUUUGGGACUUUAUUAUAUUGGUUUACCUUUUGGUGAACUGUAUGAUGGGUUUCUUCCUACUAGAGUUCGAUUCUGUUCUUAACUGAAUGGAGUAGCUAUCUCUCGGGGUAGUCAGUUGGUUAUUAUAUCUCCACUAAUAAGCAGAGAGGAGUAAAAUCUUCAAAGUAAGUUAUGUGGGUCAAGGUAUAGUGAUUAAUUGGAGUUCUAGUUCAUUUACUUUGAGAAAUUAGAGUGUUUAAAGCAGCCUCUUGGGGCACUGAAUACAUUAGCAUGGGAU
rnacentral:rRNA from 1 species